rnacentral:rRNA from 1 species
CCUGAGGUGACGAGCGGCGGACGGGUGAGUAAUGCCUAGGUAUCUGCCCAGUCGAGGGGGAUAACAGUUGGAAACGACUGCUAAUACCGCAUACGCCCUACGGGGGAAAGGAGGGGACCUUCGGGCCUUCCGCGAUUGGAUGAACCUAGGUGGGAUUAGCUAGUUGGUGAGGUAAUGGCUCACCAAGGCGACGAUCCCUAGCUGGUCUGAGAGGAUGAUCAGCCACACUGGAACUGAGACACGGUCCAGACUCCUACGGGAGGCAGCAGUGGGGAAUAUUGCACAAUGGGCGAAAGCCUGAUGCAGCCAUGCCGCGUGUGUGAAGAAGGCCUUCGGGUUGUAAAGCACUUUCAGCGAGGAGGAAAGGUUAAGUCUUAAUACGGCUUAGCUGUGACGUUACUCGCAGAAGAAGCACCGGCUAACUUCGUGCCAGCAGCCGCGGUAAUACGAGGGGUGCAAGCGUUAAUCGGAAUUACUGGGCGUAAAGCGUACGCAGGCGGUUUGUUAAGCAAGAUGUGAAAGCCCCGGGCUCAACCUGGGAACUGCAUUUUGAACUGGCAAACUAGAGUCUUGUAGAGGGGGGUAGAAUUUCAGGUGUAGC